UACGUAGGGGGCAAGCGUUGUCCGGAAUUAUUGGGCGUAAAGAGCGCGUAGGCGGUCCGAUAAGUCGGCUGUGAAAGUCAGGGGCUCAACCCUUGGAAGCCGGCCGAUACUGUCGGACUAGAGUCCGGAAGAGGCGAGUGGAAUUCCCGGUGUAGCGGUGAAAUGCGCAGAUAUCGGGAGGAACACCAAUGGCGAAGGCAGCUCGCUGGGACGGUACUGACGCUGAGGCGGCGAAAGCCAGGGGAGCGAACGG
rnacentral:rRNA from 1 species